UGGAGGAAAGCAGGGGAUCGCAAGACCUUGCGCUUUUGGAGUGGCCGAUGCCUGAUUAGCUAGUUGGUGGGGUAAUGGCCUACCAAGGCGACGAUCAGUAGUUGGUCUGAGAGGACGACCAGCCACACUGGGACUGAGACACGGCCCAGACUCCUACGGGAGGCAGCAGUGGGGAAUUUUGGACAAUGGGCGAAAGCCUGAUCCAGCAAUGCCGCGUGAGUGAAGAAGGCCUUCGGGUUGUAAAGCUCUUUCAGUCGAGAAGAAAAGGUUGUGACUAAUAAUCACAACUCAUGACGGUAUCGACAGAAGAAGCGCCGGCUAACUACGUGCCAGCAGCCGCGGUAAUACGUAGGGUGCGAGCGUUAAUCGGAAUUACUGGGCGUAAAGGGUGCGCAGGCGGCUUUGUAAGUCAGAUGUGA
rnacentral:rRNA from 1 species